AGCGAACGCUGGCGGCAGGCCUAACACAUGAAAGUCGAGCGCCGUAGCAAUACGGAGCGGCAGACGGGAGAGUAACACGUGGGCACGUGCCCUUUGGUUCAGAACAACCCAGGGAAACUUGGGCUAAUACCGGAUAAGGCUUUACGGGGAAAGAUUUAUCGCCGAAGGAUCGGCCCGCUUCUGAUUAGCUAUUUGGUGGGGGAAUGGCCCACCAACGCUACGAUCAGUGUCUGGUCUGAGAGGCUGAUCACCCUCACUGGUACUGCGACACGGCCCAGACUCCUACGGGAGGCAGCAGUGAGAAAUAUUUGACAAUGGACGCAAGCCUGAUCCAGCCAUGCCGCGUGGGUGAUGAAGGCCCUAGGGUUGUAAAGCCCUUUCGGCGGGGAAGAUAAUGACGGUACCCGCAGAAGAAGCCCAGGCUAACUUCGUGCCAGCCGCCGCCGUAAUAC
rnacentral:rRNA from 1 species